rnacentral:rRNA from 1 species
UGGCCUACGGGAGGCAGCAGUGAGGAAUAUUGGUCAAUGGCCGGAAGGCUGAACCAGCCAAGCCGCGUGAGGGAGGAAGGCGCAGAGCGUCGCAGACCUCUUUUGCCGGGGGACAAAAGGCCGGACUCGUCCGGUCCUGAGGGUACCCGGAGAAAAAGCAUCGGCUAACUCCGUGCCAGCAGCCGCGGUAAUACGGAGGAUGCGAGCGUUAUCCGGAUUUAUUGGGUUUAAAGGGUGCGCAGGCGGAUUUUUAAGUCAGCGGUCAAAUCGUGGGGCUCAACCUCAUCCAGCCGUUGAAACUGGGG